rnacentral:tRNA from 1 species
GUCGGGGUAGCUCAGCUGGUUAGAGCGCAGCACUCAUAACGCUGAGGUCGCGAGUUCAAGUCUCGCCUCCGACA